GUAAUCCGAUACGUAUGCUGCAGGGCGUGUAGGAAAAAAAGAGUAAAACAAGACUGAUUCUACACAGCAAAACCCCAUAAUUUCAAAUAGCAGCAAAUACCAAGCGCUUAGAUUGCAUUCGUGGACGCAAACGAACAAACGAAAGUGCAGAGCCCAAGUUUUCAAUCAAUACCACAUUUGUGCCUGUAAGUAGAUGAGGUUUGACCUAAUCAAGUGGUUAAAACUUGUUGAAUCGUUGUGCAUUCAGUCUUGUUUUGGUGAAAGGAAAAAUGUGUAACUUUUUGCCACUAAGAAUAUGUAAUGGACAUUUUUAGUUUUAUGACUUCAUGGGAAAAAUGACGUAUUGGAUUUUGCUGUAUACAUCUUUUUAGUAGAGUUUGAAGGGAACCCCCCAACCCCCUCCCCCCCCCACACACACACACACAAAAGUAAAGCUGAUUUCAUGUGAAAGUGGUAUAAAUGUAACGUAAGAUUUAUUCCGUAUUUGAUUAAUAUUUUAGACAAGUGUAUAAAUAUUUCAGGACAAAUCACGGGUUUAUAUUUGAUAUUCAUGCACUCAUUCGAAUACAGUAUAAUUUCUAUAGUAAUCAUUUACAGAGACUUGUGUAUAUGAUGAAGUUCUCUGCGAGAUGCUUAUUUAGCAUCUUUUGUAAGGAGUCUCCAGUUUGAGAGCUUUAUAACAGUCAUAGGUAAAGAUGUAACUUUUAGUAGCAUGACAAGCUGCAAUUUUGAUUUUUUUUUAUUUGGCUAAUUAACUGGCUAAUUAAAUCACUUGUUUUGCUCAUUUUCUUUUCUUUUUCUUUUUUUUUAAAUUUCUGCUCAAAAACAAUCUCCAGUUUCAUUUCUGCUGAACAUUUCUACUGAUAAUUUCUACUGAACAUUUCUGCUGAACAUUUCUAGUGAACAUUUCUACUGAUAAUUUCUACUGAACAUUUCUGCUGAACAUUUCUACUGAUAAUUUCUGCUGAACAUUUCUAGUGAACAUUCCUGCUGAACAUUUCUUGCUAAUUUCCAUUCAUUCAUUCAUUCAUCUAUCUGCAUGCGCUUUACCAUGGUCAGGGUCACGGUGGAUCUGGAGCCAGCUAUUAAUAUGUAAAAUAUAUGUUAAGAAAUCAAAGUGAGAUCGAAUGUAUGAGAGAGAAGAAAGAAAUCAGUAUAUUAAUCAGAGAAACUAAAAUCAAAGUAGGUCAAGCUGGUGUGACAUCGCCGCGUGCACAUUCCUCAUUGGGAAAAUAUAACCUUUUCUUCUAGGCUUGCUUUGUUAUAUAUCAGUGAAAACUCACCCUCUGUACCCGCUUGGAGACAUCGAGUCUGUACUCUGUAUGUUUAAGUCCCUAUCUUUUUUUACCAAUCUGAUGUUUGCGAUUCCUUAAUUUGUAUUGUUGAAAUCCAUGAUGAUUUGUAUGUAUGUCCGAUGAUCUGCAGACAUCUCGGCUUUUGUGAUUUUUCAAUAAAACUCUGAUUUUUG
ensembl:lncRNA